UGCGUAGGCGGUUUGGAAAGUCAGAUGUGAAAGCCUAUGGCUUAACCAUAGAACUGCAUUUGAAACUUCCAAACUAGAAUACUGAAGGGGCAGAUGGAAUUAGUGGUGUAGGGGUAAAAUCCGUAGAUAUCACUAGGAAUACCGAAAGCGAAAGCGAUCUGCUGGGAAGUUAUUGACGCUGAGGCACGAAAGCGUGGGGAGCAAACAGGAUUAGAUACCCUGGUAGUCC
rnacentral:rRNA from 1 species